rfam:Brassica oleracea var. oleracea cultivar TO1000 chromosome C5, whole genome shotgun sequence
AAACCAUGAUGAGGGCACUGAGACCAAUAACCCUUGAACCUUUCCCAUGCUUCACUGAAGCUCUCUAGACCUUUUUGUUGAAACCCGGAGAUUUCGUUCCUGAUCUU